GUUGGCUGAGAGAGGGGGAUGGAGAGAGGGGGGAGAUGGUGGAGAGAGAGUUGGAGGUAAUAAGCCCGAGCGGGGCAGAGAGGUAACAAGAGAAAGACGGGGAGAGAAGGGAAAUACAGGUGCAAGGACAGAGCGAGAGAGAGAUAGGAUGGAAGAGAUGAGGACGACAAGGUGCAGGGACAGAGCGAGAGAGAUACGAUGGAAGAGAUGAGGACGACAAGGUGCAGGGACAGAGAGAGAGAGAGAGAGAGACGAGGACAACGAGGUGCAGGGACAGAGAGAGAGAGAGAGAGAGAUGAGGACAACGAGGUGCAGGGACAGAGCGAGAGAGAGAUACAAUGGAAGAGAUGAGGACGACAAGGUGCAGGGACAGAGAGAGAGAUACAAUGGAAUAGAUGAGGACGACAAGGUGCAGGGACAGAGAGAGAGAGAUACAAUGGAAGAGAUGACGACAAGGUGCAGGGACAGAGCGAGAGAGAGAUACGAUGGAAGAGAUGACGACAAGGUGCAGGGACAGAGCGAGAGAGAGAUACGAUGGAAGAGAUGAGGACGACAAGGUGCAGGGACAGAGAGAGAGAGAGAGAUGAGGACGACAAGGUGCAGGGACAGAGAGAGAGAGAGAUACGAUGGAAGAGAUGAGGACGACAAGGUGCAGGGACAGAGAGAGAGAGAGAUACGAUGGAAGAGAUGACGACAAGGUGCAGGGACAGAGCGAGAGAGAGAUACGAUGGAAGAGAUGAGGACGACAAGGUGCAGGGACAGAGCGAGAGAGAGAUACGAUGGAAGAGAUGAGGACGACAAGGUGCAGGGACAGAGCGAGAGAGAGAUGAGGACGACAAGGUGCAGGGACAGAGCGAGAGAGAGAUACGAUGGAAGAGAUGAGGACGACAAGGUGCAAGGACAGAGCGAGAGAGAGAUACGAUGGAAGAGAUAUGAGGACGACAAGGUGCAGGGACAGAGCGAGAGAGAGAUGAGGACGACAAGGUGCAGGGACAGAGCGAGAGAGAGAUACAAUGGAAGAGAUGACGACAAGGUGCAGGGACAGAGCGAGAGAGAGAUACGAUGGAAGAGAUGAGGACGACAAGGUGCAGGGACAGAGAGAGAGAGAGAGAGAGAUGAGGACGACGAGGUGCAGGGACAGAGCGAGAGAGAUAGGAUGGAAGAGAUGAGGACGACAAGGUGCAGGGACAGAGCGAGAGAGAGAUGAGGACGACAAGGUGCAGGGACAGAGCGAGAGAGAGAUACAAUGGAAGAGAUGAGGACGACAAGGUGCAGGGACAGAGCGAGAGAGAGAGAGAUGAGGACGACAAGGUGCAGGGACAGAGAGAGAGAGAGAUACAAUGGAAGAGAUGAGGACGACAAGGUGCAGGGACAGAGAGAGAGAGAGAGAGAGAUGAGGACAACGAGGUGCAGGGACAGAGCGAGAGAGAGAUACAAUGGAAUAGAUGAGGACGACAAGGUGCAGGGACAGAGAGAGAGAGAUACAAUGGAAGAGAUGACGACAAGGUGCAGGGACAGAGCGAGAGAGAGAUACGAUGGAAGAGAUGACGACAAGGUGCAGGGACAGAGCGAGAGAGAGAUACGAUGGAAGAGAUGACGACAAGGUGCAGGGACAGAGCGAGAGAGAGAUACGAUGGAAGAGAUGACGACAAGGUGCAGGGACAGAGCGAGAGAGAGAUACGAUGGAAGAGAUGAGGACGACAAGGUGCAGGGACAGAGAGAGAGAGAGAGAGAUGAGGACGACGAGGUGCAGGGACAGAGCGAGAGAGAUAGGAUGGAAGAGAUGAGGACGACAAGGUGCAGGGACAGAGCGAGAGAGAGAUGAGGACGACAAGGUGCAGGGACAGAGCGAGAGAGAGAUACAAUGGAAGAGAUGACGACAAGGUGCAGGGACAGAGCGAGAGAGAGAUACGAUGGAAGAGAUGAGGACGACAAGGUGCAGGGACAGAGCGAGAGAGAGAUACGAUGGAAGAGAUGAGGACGACAAGGUGCAGGGACAGAGCGAGAGAGAGAUACGAUGGAAGAGAUGAGGACGACAAGGUGCAGGGACAGAGCGAGAGAGAGAUGAGGACGACAAGGUGCAGGGACAGAGCGAGAGAGAGAUACGAUGGAAGAGAUGAGGACGACAAGGUGCAGGGACAGAGAGAGAGAGAGAUGAGGACGACAAGGUGCAGGGACAGAGCGAGAGAGAUACGAUGGAAGAGAUGAGGACGACAAGGUGCAGGGACAGAGAGAGAGAGAGAUAGGAUGGAAGAGAUGAGGACGACAAGGUGCAGGGACAGAGCGAGAGAGAUGAGGACGACGAGGUGCAGGGACAGAGUGAGAGAGAGAUGAGGACGACGAGGUGGAAUACAGGUGCAGGGAGGAAGAGAGGAUGGAAGAGAGAUGGAGGACAACGAGGUGGAGGGGGAAUACAGGUACAGGGAGGAAUAGAGAGAGGGACAGAAAGAGGAAGAGUGAAAUCAGAAGUGUUUUGAGUGGUUCAAUUACACCCCCUUCACGUACCAGUCUAGUGACUCCUAAG